UAGUGGCGAACGGGUGAGUAACACGUGGGCAAUCUGCCCUGCACUCUGGGACAAGCCCUGGAAACGGGGUCUAAUACCGGAUAAUACUCUCGCAGGCAUCUGUGAGGGUUAAAAGCUCCGGCGGUGCAGGAUGAGCCCGCGGCCUAUCAGCUUGUUGGUGAGGUAGUGGCUCACCAAGGCGACGACGGGUAGCCGGCCUGAGAGGGCGACCGGCCACACUGGGACUGAGACACGGCCCAGACUCCUACGGGAGGCAGCAGUGGGGAAUAUUGCACAAUGGGCGAAAGCCUGAUGCAGCGACGCCGCGUGAGGGAUGACGGCCUUCGGGUUGUAAACCUCUUUCAGCAGGGAAGAAGCGAAAGUGACGGUACCUGCAGAAGAAGCGCCGGCUAACUACGUGCCAGCAGCCGCGGUAAUACGUAGGGCGCAAGCGUUGUCCGGAAUUAUUGGGCGUAAAGAGCUCGUAGGCGGCUUGUCACGUCGAUUGUGAAAGCCCGGGGCUUAACUCCGGGUCUGCAGUCGAUACGGGCUAGCUAGAGUGUGGUAGGGGAGAUCGGAAUUCCU
rnacentral:rRNA from 1 species